UAAGUACUCCGCCUGGGAAGUACGCUCGCAAGAGUGAAACUCAAAGGAAUGACGGGGACCCGCACAAGUAGCGGAGCAUGUGGUUUAAUUCGAAGCAACGCGAAGAACCUACCUAAGCUUGACAUCCCAAUGACCUCUCCCUAAUCGGAGAUUUCCCUUCGGGGACAUUGUGACAGGUGGUGCAUGGUUGUCGUCAGCUCGUGUCGUGAGAUGUUGGGUUAAGUCCCGCACGAGCGCAACCCUUGCCUUUAGUUGCCAGCAUUAAGUUGGGCACUCUAGAGGGACUGCCAGGAUAACCUGGAGGAAGGUGGGGAUGACGUCAAAUCAUCAUGCCCCUUAUGCUUAGGGCUCACACGUGCUACAAUGGGUGGUACAGAGGGCAGCCAAGUCGUGAGGCGGAGCUAAUCCCUAAAGCCAUUCUCAGUUCGGAUUGUAGGCUGAAACUCGCCUACAUGAAGCUGGAGUUACUAUAAUCGCAGAUCAGAAUGCUGCGGUGAAUGCGUUCCCGGGUCUUGUACACACCGCCCGUU
rnacentral:rRNA from 1 species